GGAGGAGCCGGCUGGCUUCGGAACCGCCGCUGGAAACGGCGGGCGCCCCGACCGGGCGCCGUGGGUUCGAAUCCCACCUCCUCCGCC
rnacentral:tRNA from 1 species